AACGCAACUUGCGCUCCUUGGUAUUCCGAGGAGCAUGCCUGUUUGAGUGUCAUGAACAUCUCAACCCUUCCAGGUUUUCACAAACAUUGGUAUGGGUUGGACUUGGGCAUUGCUGGCGUACAGCUGGCUGGCCUGAAAUAUAUUAGCUGGUUCCAUUCAGAUCUGGUUCCACUUGGCGUGAUAAUUAUCUUCGCUGAGGACAUCUCUUUCGAGAGGUGGCCAGGACUGUCUGUGCUUAGAACUGCUUCUAAUCAGUCCUAUGGACAAUUUUUGACAUUUGGCCUCAAAUCAGGUAGGACUACCCGCUGAACUUAA
rnacentral:rRNA from 1 species